rnacentral:rRNA from 1 species
UGCCAGCCGCCGCGGUAAUACGGAGGGUGCAAGCGUUAUCCGGAAUUACUGGGUUUAAAGGGUGCGUAGGCGGAACUAUAAGUCAGAGGUGAAAGCUCGCAGCUUAACUGCGGAAUUGCCUUUGAUACUGUAGAUCUUGAAUUAGGUUGAGGUUAGCGGAAUGUGACAUGUAGCGGUGAAAUGCAUAGAUAUGUCAUAGAACACCAAUUGCGAAGGCAGCUAGCUAGGCCUAUAUUGACGCUGAGGCACGAAAGCGUGGGGAGCGAACAGGAUUAGAUA